UGCUGUUACGUUUUUGUUUUAAAAUUCUUUUUCCCCACCCUUGUAACAGCCUGCAAGGACUAACAGUAUUGGAAAUAAAUAAAUAAAUA
rnacentral:lncRNA from 1 species